rnacentral:lncRNA from 1 species
AAGGUGGAGGCAUAAGAUGGAGGCUCUAAAGGGUCAGAAGCAGGAGUACGUGACAGGGAUGUGGAACGUCAACACGGUGCUGCUGAGAGGGCUGUGGAAGGAACCCGAUCUGGAGGGUAACGAACACUCACACACACUGACUUUUGCCCAUAGUAAUUUAGUGAUUCAAAAGUCAGUGUGAUAGUCAUUGAUUUUGAUAGUCAUUCAAACGCAGGAUGUUCCAGUCAAGGAUUGUGAAAUAAAAGGAAGUCAAACAGUUCUGGUUUAGUAGGUAAUGUCAUGACUCAUUGGAUUUCUGGCUUAUUGGUACUAAACCUGUUUCUUAGCCUAUUGUUUAUAGACUCAUAGGUAACCUAUUGUCUGUUGGGUUUUUUACAGAGGAGGAAGAGAGCCCAGAUGAAGAAAUAACCAGCCCUAAACAGGCCACCGCAGCAUGGGAGCGCGCUGCCCGUCUCAUCCAGCAGAGGGAGUCUCUGCUGGCUCGUCUGGAGCUGUUUGACAGGGACGCUUCUGACCCCAACCGCUUCUUCCUGCAAGGUACUGCAUAAUAUAUAUCUGCUCUGGGGUGAAGUUUCCCCUCGGUGCAGAUAUAUUCCCACGAGCCCGUCAUCCCCAAUUAAGGUGACACCAACCUCCUGUGCUUCUUACAAUAUUAUAACAUAUUGCUUUUACAGCGUAUUGUAUUGGAUGAUAUAUUGUAAAUUGCUAAAUAUAUCAUCAUAUUAUUAUUGUUAUAAAUAAAAGGCAGUUGAUGAAAUAUAUAAUGCCAGAGUACACCUUACUGGACCAAAAAAUGUAAGCACCUGGUAUUCCCAGGCAGUCUCCCAGCCAAGUACUAACUAGCUUCUGAGAGGCUAGUAUGGUCGUAAGUGAAGGAACAUAUCUUCAUGUACUUUACAAAGUGUCUUUCGCUCUCUUUCUUUCCUUCCUCUUUCUUUCUUUCCUUCCUUCCUCUUUCUUUCCUUCCUUCCUCUUUCUUUCCUUCCUUCCUUCCUUCCUUCCUUCCUUCCUUCCUUCCUUCCUUCCUUCCUUCCUUCCUUCCUUCCUUCCUUCCUUCCUUCCUUCCUUCCUUCCUUCCUUCCUCUUUCUUUCCUUCCUUCCUCUUUCUUUCCUUCCUUCCUUCCUUCCUCUUUCUUUCUUUCCUUCCUUCCUUCCUUCCUUCCUUCCUUCCUUCCUUCCUUCCUUCCUUCCUUCCUUCCUUCCUUCCUUCCUUCCUUCCUUCCUUCCUUCCUUCCUUCCUUCCUUCCUUCCUUCCUUCCUUCCUUCCUUCCUUCCUUCCUUCCUUCCUUCCUUCCUUCCUUCCUUCCUCUUUCUUUCCUUCCUUCCUCUUUCUUUCCUUCCUUCCUUCCUUCCUCUUUCUUUCCUUCCUUCCUUCCUUCCUCUUUCUUUCUUUUCUUUCUAUUAAUUCUUUCCUGCCCCUCUCUCUCUUUCUCGCUCUCUCUCUCUCUCACUCAUUUUUUUCUUUCUCAGGCUACCAGGGCACCUCUCUAGCCAGGUUGGAUGAGUCCAAGCACCGGAGCAAACUCAACUCCCAGAUCUGUUCUCUGGAGAAGGUGUUGUCUAAGAUUCUCCACCACAUUACAGACAGCUUCCACGACACUGUCACCUACAAGGGGAGGCCGUACAGGGAGAAGAUGCGCUGGGACCACAUCGAGAUGCUCUACUGGCUGCAGCACGAGCGCCGGGUCCAGGCUCUGGAGAGGGUGGUGGAGGGGAGGGGCUCUCUCCCCACCAGACUGCCCCCACCCCCCCCCCCCCCCCCCCCCCAACCAACCCACUUCAGCGGGCAGGCCUUUCUAAUCGACCUGGCCGGGGUAUCCUGGAAGGAUAUUGAUCUCAUCCCGUCAGUAGAGGAUGCCUGGUUAUUUUUUUUAAAUGCCUUCCUAACCAUCUUAAAUAAGCAUGCCCCAUUCAAGAAAUAUAGAACCAGGAACAGAUUUAGCCCUUGGUUCUCUCCAGACCUGACUGCCCUUAACCAACACAAAAACAUCCUAUGGCGUUCUGCAUUAGGGGGCGGCAGCGUAGCCUAGUGGUUAGAGCAUUGGACUAGUAACCGGAAGGUUGCGAGUUCAAACCCCCGAGCUGACAAGGUACACAUCUAUCGUUCUGCCCCUGAACAGGCAGUUAACCCAUUGUUCCCAGGCCGUCAUUGAAAAUAAGAAUAUGUUCUUAACUGACUUGCCUGGUUAAAUAAAUAGCUGAUAUGCAGCUUUUCAGGGAAGCUAGAAACCAUUAAACACAGGCAGUUAGAAAAGUCAAGGCUAGCUUUUUCAAACAGACAUUUGCCUCCUGCAUUACUAACUCAAAACAGUUCUGGGACACUGUAAAGUUCAUGGAGAAUUAGAACACCUCCUCCCAGCUGCCCACUGCACUGAAGACAGGAAACACUGUCACCACUGAUAAAUCCACUAUAAUUGAGAAUUUCAAUAAGCAUUUUUCUAUGGCUGGCCAUGCUUUCCACCUGGCUACCCCUACCCCGGUCAACAGCACUGCACCCCCACAGCAACUAGCCCAAGCCUUCCCCAUUUCUCCUUCUCCCAAGUCCAGUCAGCUGAUGUUCUGAAAGAGCUGGAAAAUCUGGACCCCUUCAAAUCAGCCGGGCUAGACAAUCUGGACCUUUUCUUUCGAAAAUUAUCUGCUGAAAUUGUUGCCACCCCUAUUACUAGCCUGUUCAACCUCUCUUUCGUGUCGUCUGAGAUUCCCAAAGAUUGGAAAGCAGCUGCGGUCAUCCCCCUCUUCAAAGGGGGGGACACUCUUGACCCAAACUGCUACAGAGCUAUAUCUAUCCUACCCUGCCUUUCUAAGGUCUUCGAAAGCCAAGUCAACAAACAGAUUACCAACCAUUUCGAAU